rnacentral:rRNA from 1 species
AGUGAACGCUGGCGGUAGGCCUAACACAUGCAAGUCGAACGGCAGCACAGUAAGAGCUUGCUCUUACGGGUGGCGAGUGGCGGACGGGUGGGGAAUACAUCGGAAUCUACUUUUUCGUGGGGGAUAACGUAGGGAAACUUACGCUAAUACCGCAUACGACCUACGGGUGAAAGCAGGGGAUCUUCGGACCUUGCGCGAUUGAAUGAGCCGAUGUCGGAUUAGCUAGUUGGCGGGGUAAAGGCCCUCCAAGGCGACGAUCCGUAGCUGGUCUGAGAGGAUGAUCAGCCACACUGGAACUGAGACACGGUCCAGACUCCUACGGGAGGCAGCAGUGGGGAAUAUUGGACAAUGGGCGCAAGCCUGAUCCAGCCAUACCGCGUGGGUGAAGAAGGCCUUCGGGUUGUAAAGCCCUUUUGUUGGGAAAGAAAAGCAGCAGGUUAAUACCCCGCUGUUCUGACGGUACCCAAAGAAUAAGCACCGGCUAACUUCGUG